rnacentral:rRNA from 1 species
GACGAACGCUGGCGGCGUGCUUAACACAUGCAAGUCGAACGGAAAGGCCCUGCUUUUGUGGGGUGCUCGAGUGGCGAACGGGUGAGUAACACGUGAGUAACCUGCCCUUGGCUUUGGGAUAACUUCAGGAAACUGGGGCUAAUACCGGAUAGGAGCUCCUGCUGCAUGGUGGGGGUUGGAAAGUUUCGGCGGUUGGGGAUGGACUCGCGGCUUAUCAGCUUGUUGGUGGGGUAGUGGCUUACCAAGGCUUUGACGGGUAGCCGGCCUGAGAGGGUGACCGGCCCCGUGGGGACUGAGUGACGCCCCGGCCUCCUCCGGGAGGCAGCAGUGGGUAUUGUUGCACAAUGGGCGGAGGCCUGAUGCAGCAACCCCGCGUGCGGGAGAACGGCCUUCGGUUUUAAACCGCUUUCGCCUGUGACGAAGCGUGAGUGACGGUAAUGGGUAAAGAAGCACCGGCUAACUACGUG